rnacentral:rRNA from 1 species
ACGGAAGGCAGCAGUGGGGAAUAUUGCACAAUGGGGGAAACCCUGAUGCAGCGACGCCGCGUGAGUGAAGAAGUAUUUCGGUAUGUAAAGCUCUAUCAGCAGGGAAGAAAAUGACGGUACCUGACUAAGAAGCUCCGGCUAAAUACGUGCCAGCAGCCGCGGUAAUACGUAUGGAGCAAGCGUUAUCCGGAUUUACUGGGUGUAAAGGGAGCGUAGACGGCGAGGCAAGUCUGAUGUGAAAGCCAUGGGCUCAACCCAUGAACUGCAUUGGAAACUGUCUUGCUUGAGUGUCGGAGAGGUAAGCGGAAUUCCUAGUGUAGCGGUGAAAUGCGUAGAUAUUAGGAGGAACACCAGUGGCGAAGGCGGCUUACUGGACGAUAACUGACGUUGAGGCUCGAAAGCGUGGGGAGCAAACAGGAUUAGAUACCCUGGUA